rnacentral:ncRNA from 2 species
ACAGAAUGGCUGGGCUAGUGUAAAUUUCAGUUAAUAUAUUUCAAAGGAAGUGAGGUGACUGGGAUUCCUCCGCUAUCCCGUAACUGUGAGUGGGUUUUCCAUCACUAACGGUCACUGGUCAGACUAAAAUCCGACUGGGAAGGCCGAUGGAAAUGUCCGGUGAGUAACCAGAGCCCAUAAGCCAAGAUGUUUUGAUAUACGGUUGUGU